rnacentral:rRNA from 1 species
UACAGAGGUCCCAAGCGUUGUUCGGAUUCACUGGGCGUAAAGGGUGCGCAGGCGGCGGUUCGCGUGGAUAGAUGAAAUCUCCUGGCUUACCUGGGAGGAUGGUAUCCAGACGGGAUCGCUUGAGGGUCGGAGAGGGGCGUGGAAUUCCGGGUGGAGCGGUGAAAUGCGUAGAGAUCCGGAGGAACACCGACGGCGCAGGCAGCGUCCUGGCCGCUUGCUGACACUGAGGCACGAAAGCUGGGGGAGCAAACAGG